rnacentral:rRNA from 1 species
AGUGAACGCUGGCGGUAGGCCUAACACAUGCAAGUCAAACGGCAGCACAGGAGAGCUUGCUCUCUGGGUGGCGAGUGGCGGACGGGUGAGGAAUACAUCGGAAUCUACUCUGUCGUGGGGGAUAACGUAGGGAAACUUACGCUAAUACCGCAUACGACCUACGGGUGAAAGCAGGGGACCUUCGGGCCUUGCGCGGUUGAAUGAGCCGAUGUCGGAUUAGCUAGUUGGCGGGGUAAAGGCCACCAAGGCGACGAUCCGUAGCUGGUCUGAGAGGAUGAUCAGCCACACUGGAACUGAGACACGGUCCGGACUCCUACGGGAGGCAGCAGUGGGGAAUAUUGGACAAUGGGCGCAAGCCUGAUCCAGCCAUACCGCGUGGGUGAAGAAGGCCUUCGGGUUGUAAAGCCCUUUUGUUGGGAAAGAAAUCCAGCUGGCUAAUAUCCGGUUGGGAUGACGGUACCCAAAGAAUAAGCACCGGCUAACUUCGUGCCAGCCGCCGCAGUAA